AUCCAGCUGACGAGUUCCAAAUAGAACGAAACACGUGUCCUGGAU
rfam:Schistosoma mansoni strain Puerto Rico chromosome 2, complete genome